CCUACGGGAGGCUGCAGUAGGGAAUAUUGCUCAAUGGGGGAAACCCUGAAGCAGCAACGCCGCGUGGAGGAUGAAGGUUUUCGGAUUGGAAACUCCUUUUGUUAGAGAAGAUAAUGACGGUAUCUAACGAAUAAGCACCGGCUAACUCCGUGACAGCAACCGCGGUAAUACGGGGGGUGAAAGCGUUACGCGGAAUCACUGGGCGUAAAGAGCGCGUAGGCGGGAUAGCAAGUCAGAUGUGAAAUCCUAUGGCUUAACCAUAGAACUGCAUUUGAAACUGUUAUUCUAGAGUAUGGGAGAGGUAGGUGGAAUGCUUGGUGUAGGGGUAAAAUCCGUAGAGAUCAAGAGGAAUACUCAUCGCGAAGGCGACCUGCUAGAACAUAACUGACGCUGAUGCGCGAAAGCGUGGGGAGCAAACAGGAGUAGAUACCCCAGUAGUC
rnacentral:rRNA from 1 species